GACGAACGCUGGCGGCGUGCCUAAUACAUGCAAGUAGAACGCUGAAGAGAGGAGCUUGCUCUUCUUGGAUGAGUUGCGAAAGGGUGAGUAACGCGUAGGUAACCUGCCUUGUAGCGGGGGAUAACUAUUGGAAACGAUAGCUAAUACCGCAUAACAAUGGAUGACACAUGUCAUUUAUUUGAAAGGGGCAAUUGCUCCACUACAAGAUGGACCUGCGUUGUAUUAGCUAGUAGGUGAGGUAAUGGCUCACCUAGGCGACGAUACAUAGCCGACCUGAGAGGGUGAUCGGCCACACUGGGACUGAGACACGGCCCAGACUCCUACGAGAGGCAGCAGUAGGGAAUCUUCGGCAAUGGGGGCAACCCUGACCGAGCAACGCCGCGUGAGUGAAGAAGGUUUUCGGAUCGUAAAGCUCUGUUGUAAGUCAAGAACGGGGGUGAGAGUGGAAAGUUCACACUGUGACGGUAGCUUACCAGAAAGGGACGGCUAACUACGUG
rnacentral:rRNA from 1 species